AUUGAACGCUGGCGGCAGGCCUAACACAUGCAAGUCGAGCGGCAGCGGGAAAGUAGCUUGCUACUUUUGCCGGCGAGCGGCGGACGGGUGAGUAAUGCCUGGGAAAUUGCCCAGUCGAGGGGGAUAACAGUUGGAAACGACAGCUAAUACCGCAUACGCCCUACGGGGGAAAGCAGGGGACCUUCGGGCCUUGCGCGAUUGGAUAUGCCCAGGUGGGAUUAGCUAGUUGGUGAGGUAAUGGCUCACCAAGGCGACGAUCCCUAGCUGAUCUGAGAGGAUGAUCAGCCACACUGGAACUGAGACACGGUCCAGACUCCUACGGGAGGCAGCAGUGGGGAAUAUUGCACAAUGGGGGAAACCCUGAUGCAGCCAUGCCGCGUGUGUGAAGAAGGCCUUCGGGUUGUAAAGCACUUUCAGCGAGGAGGAAAGGUUGAUGCCUAACACGUAUCAACUGUGACGUUACUCGCAGAAGAAGCACCGGCUAACUCCGUGCCAGCAGCCGCAGUAAGAC
rnacentral:rRNA from 1 species